UAGAUCUGAAAUUAACACUUCAGUCUAAUUCAGAACUGAAUUUAACUCUGAAGCUACUUUUGAUUCUGAAGUUCAAAUCAGAGAUGUUCAAAAUCACCUGUCUUUAGACUCUCAUAAGUAACACGACAGACAGACUGCAGAUAAUUAGUCUAACGAUGACCUUCAGGGAACGUAAGACUCGGACAGGGUUCUAUGGUGCACACCCAAGUUCGGAAAAUGGCUUGCACAUCAACAAGCAACUCUAGUGUGAAAAAAAACCUUGAGAAGUUCAGCAAUGCACACAAGACUUUAAGCUCUAUUUUAAAGCCGCCCACUCAUUGUGUGUCUCUCCGUCUCCCCAGGGCAACAACGAUGAUGUCAUCCUGUCCUGCUGUCUGCACUACUGUCAGGACAAAGCCAAGGACUUCAUGCCUGCUGAGAGAAAUGGGCUGGUGAGGUUACGCAGGGAGGUGGUCUUGCUCACGGAUGACCGCAAUCUGCGAGUCAAAGCUCUCACACGCAACGUACCAGUCCGGGACAUCCCAGCAUUCCUGAUCUGGGCUAAAGUAGGCUGAAGCACAGAACUGACCUACCGCUGUACAAACCAAUCAUCCUCCACUGCAAAAGUUGGGAGGAGAUGAAGAAAUUGUCACACAGAGAGGAUGAAUAUUAAGGGGAGAAAUACUACAAGCUUUUUGUCAAACCGA